AAGUAGGAAGUAAUAUAUUACACUUAGUUUCGACCUAAUAGAAGAAAUUUAAACUUUCCUUACUUU
rnacentral:tRNA from 1 species